GGGGCCGACAUGGUUUCGACUUCGUGCAUUGAGCUAGGGGAAGCGUGCCGGUGAAGGCAGAUGACCACCGUAAGCGUCGCUGCGAUUUCUAAGCGCCGAGAACACUCAGCGCGACUACGCCCUCGCUGCCUAAUUCAGCGACCGCGUGUCUGUCGGCCUAAGCUAGCCUCUGGCUUAGCACCCGGCAUCGUUUAAAGAGGCUUGCUGUGCAGCUAGGUCACUCGAGCUGCACGGGACAUCUUAGAGUGACUGGGCUCAUCGUCCGGGCUGGUUCGCGUGACCCGGAGAGCCGAGCAGAGAUGACAGCGAACUGCGCACGGAGAAGCCCUGGCGAAGUCGCGAAGGACGCGGGUUCAAUUCCCGCCGGCUCCACGA
rfam:Corynebacterium urealyticum DSM 7109 complete genome